rnacentral:rRNA from 1 species
UACGUAGGUGGCAAGCGUUGUCCGGAAUUAUUGGGCGUAAAGCGCGCGCAGGCGGUCCUUUAAGUCUGAUGUGAAAGCCCACGGCUCAACCGUGGAGGGUCAUUGGAGACUGGGGGACUUGAGUACAGAAGAGAAGAGUGGAAUUCCACGUGUAGCGGUGAAAUGCGUAGAGAUGUGGAGGAACACCAGUGGCGAAGGCGACUCUUUGGUCUGUAACUGACGCUGAGGCGCGAAAGCGUGGGGAGCAAACAGG